rnacentral:rRNA from 1 species
UACGGUGGGGGCAAGCGUUGUUCGGAAUUACUGGGCGUAAAGGGCUCGUAGGUGGCCAACUAAGUCAGACGUGAAAUCCCUCGGCUUAACCGGGGAACUGCGUCUGAUACUGGAUGGCUUGAGUGUGGGAGAGGGAUGCGGAAUUCCAGGUGUAGCGGUGAAAUGCGUAGAUAUCUGGAGGAACACCGGUGGCGAAGGCGGCAUCCUGGACCAAGACUGACGCUGAGUGAGCGAAAGCCAGGGGAGCAAACGGG